CUACGGGUGGCUGCAGUGAGGAAUAUUGCACAAUGGAGGAAACUCUGAUGCAGCAACGCCGCGUGGAGGAUGACGCAUUUCGGUGUGUAAACUCCUUUUAUAUGUCAAGAAAAUGACGGUAGCAUAUGAAUAAGCACCGGCUAACUCCGUGCCAGCAGCCGCGGUAAUACGGAGGGUGCAAGCGUUACUCGGAAUCACUGGGCGUAAAGGACGCGUAGGCGGGAUAUCAAGUCAGGUGUGAAAUCCUACAGCUUAACUGUAGAACUGCACUUGAAACUGGUAACCUAGAGUAUGGAGAGGGAGAUGGAAUUAGUGGUGUAGGGGUAAAAUCCGUAGAUAUCACUAGGAAUACCUAAAGCGAAGGCGAUCUCCUGGAACAUAACUGACGCUAAGGCGUGAAAGCGUGGGGAGCAAACAGGAUUAGAUACCCGGGUAGUC
rnacentral:rRNA from 1 species